rnacentral:lncRNA from 1 species
UUAGCCGGGCGUGGUAGCGGGCGCCUAUGGUCCCAGCUACUCACGAGGCUGAGGCAGGAGAGUGGCGGGAACCCGGGAGGCGGAGCUUCCAGUGAGCUGAGAUGGCGCCACUGCACUCCAGCCUGGGCGACAGAGCAAGACUCCGUCUCAAAAAAAAAAAAAAAAGAGCUUCUGGGAAUGGGUUCCCUGCUUCAGCCUUCUGCCGUGUGAGGACACUGCAGGAUGCAGUGUUCAAGGCACUCUCUUGGAUGCAGACACUGGGCCUUCACCAGACACCAAACCUGCUGCUACCUUGAUCUUGGAUUUCCCAGCCUUCAGAACUAUACCUGAAGGCAGAGGGCGACCCUUUGACGUCUCAGGGCCAUAUAUCAGUUCCCUAACAGUGAAGCCCACAACAAGUAAUACUAGUUUGUAAUUUCUGAUAAUGACACAUGGAUUUCUGCCUAAUAUUAAUGAUCCAGUAAUUAAAAAUUUUCCUAAAAUUUUAUGAAAUGAAUCCAAACUUAUAGGUAGGAUGACUACGUAAAUAAUAGCAAAGCAGUGACCAAAAAUGCUGAGAGAAAAAAAGCAUGGGGAACAAAACCUAACAAAGAAUAUUUGUUUAUUAUCAGAGAUAAAUAAUAUAAAAUCAAAUUAAUUUACUUGUUUUUGAAAUUCAUUUUUGAAAAAGAACAAAAAUUACACACACAAAAAAGAAGCAGUAGAAUUAACACCUCAUUUUU